rnacentral:rRNA from 1 species
GACGAACGCUGGCGGCGUGCUUAACACAUGCAAGUCGAACGGAAAGGCCCCCUUGUGGGGUACUCGAGUGGCGAACGGGUGAGUAACACGUGAGUAACCUACCCUUGACUUUGGGAUAACUUCAGGAAACUGGGGCUAAUACCGGAUAGGAGCUCCUGCUGCAUGGUGGGGGUUGGAAAGUUUCGGCGGUUGUGGAUGGACUCGCGGCUUAUCAGCUUGUUGGUGGGGUAGUGGCUCACCAAGGCUUUGACGGGUAGCCGGCCUGAGAGGGUGACCGGCCACAUUGGGACUGAGAUACGGCCCAGACUCCUACGGGAGGCAGCAGUGGGGAAUAUUGCACAAUGGGCGGAAGCCUGAUGCAGCAACGCCGCGUGCGGGAUGACGGCCUUCGGGUUGUAAACCGCUUUCGCCUGUGACGAAGCGUGAGUGACGGUAAUGGGUAAAGAAGCACCGGCUAACUACGUG